GACGAACGCUGGCGGCGUGCUUAACACAUGCAAGUCGAACGGAAAGGCCCUGCUUUUGUGGGGUGCUCGAGUGGCGAACGGGUGAGUAACACGUGAGUAACCUGCCCUUGACUUUGGGAUAACUUCAGGAAACUGGGGCUAAUACCGGAUAGGAGAUCCUGCUGCAUGGUGGGGGUUGGAAAGUUUCGGCGGUUGGGGAUGGACUCGCGGCUUAUCAGCUUGUUGGUGGGGUAGUGGCUUACAAAGGCUUUGACGGGUAGCCGGCCUGAGAGGGUGACCGGGCACAUUGGUCCUGAGAUACGGCCCAGACUCCUACGGGAGGCAGCAGGGGGGAAUAUUACACAAUAGGCGGAAGUGUGAUGCAGCAACGCCGCGUUCGGGAUGACGGCCUUCUGGUGGUAAACCGCUUUCGCCUGUGACGAAGCGUGAGUGACGGUAAUGGGUAAAGAAGCACCGGCUAACUACGUG
rnacentral:rRNA from 1 species